AUUGAACGCUGGAGGCAGGCCUAACAAAUGCAAGUCGAACGAGUGGCGGACGGGUGAGUAAUGUCUGGGAAACUGCCUGAUGGCAGGGGAUAACUACUGGAAACGGUAGCUAAUACCGCAUACCCUCGGAUGUGCCCAGAUGGGAUUAGCGAGUGGGUGGGUUAAAGGCUCACCUAGGCGACGAUCCCUAUCUGGUCUGCGGGGAUAACGAGCAACACUGGAACUGAUGAACGGUCAAGACUCCUAAGGGAGGCAGCAGUGGGGAAUAUUGCACAAUGGGCGAAAGCCUGAUGCAGCCAUGCCGCGUGGAUAAAGAAGGCCUUCGGGUUGUAAAGUACUUUCAGCUGGGAGGCGUUACCCGAAGAAGAAGCACGGGCUAACUCCUGUCCAGACGCCGCGGUAAUAC
rnacentral:rRNA from 1 species